UAUACUAUUUUGACUAAAAAAAUAAAAUCAUGACAACUAAAAAUGGACAUAGAAAUUAUUUUUUAAAACAAAUCAUAAAAUGAUUGAAAAAUCUAGGCUAUAAAUUAAGACAGGAAAAAAUUAAUCCUAUCAACAAAAAGAAGAGAAAGUCAGCCGCCUGAACCAUUUUCUUUCUAUAAAACCUAGGAGCAUAGCGCUAUAAAAUCCGCCGCAACACUAUCAUUUUGAUCUCCUUGUACAACGCUCAAUAGUUUAUUUUCUUAGCUACUGAAAACCCAAAAUCGACAAUUACCAUCACUAGACAAUCAUCGAGUUUGAGGUCUGAUAGUUCCGAUCUGAACAAAAAUAAUUUUAUUCAGUAAGGUUUUCCGUUGAAGAUUCCGAUCUAAAAAAAUAAUUUUAUUCAGUAAGAUUUUUUUUUUUGAAGAUUUCGAUUUGAGCCUCUAAAGGACUUGAUAUUGGUGUUGCACUGUCCAAAAUCGGGAACUUUCUUACAUUUAAGGGUGGCUCUUAUGACACUUUUGCCGAUCUCGAUUUGGAUUCUCGAACUCUAAGAGCCGAUUUCUGGAAUUUGUUCACAUCCGAUUCGAGGGCAUCUGUCCGCUUUCUAUCCUUUGCAAGCGUGCUACAGACUCGAUGGACAAAGUCAAGGAACUGCUUUGCCUUGUCAUUGACUUUGAUCACAUCAUCCUGAACUUUUGAUCCUCUGUCGUCCAACUUUCUUGGGGCGAAGGAUAUUCAUGAUAUUCGGAAAGAUUUAUGUUAAUUCGCUCUGCGAGCAGAGCAGUAUACCGAAAAAGAGGAGCGACUACCUUACUUAAGCAA